UUUCAUUUCCAUACAAUUAGUGAAUUCUUGUGACAAUAGUUCCCCUUGAAGGUGUUCUAUAUAAUGGGUCACCUGUAGCUUUCUGUAUGAGAUCCUGAAGCCCCUCGUCUUCAACAAUGUUGAUGGGUCUGCAGUCUGUAGCAACCCAUUCAGCAAUUGCAUUAUUUAACUUAGUUGUUUUUAGUUAUUUUUAGA